rnacentral:rRNA from 1 species
GACGAACGCUGGCGGCGUGCCUAAUACAUGCAAGUAGGACGCACAGUCUAUACCGUAGCUUGCUACACCAUAGGCUGUGAGUUGCGAACGGGUGAGUAACGCGUAGGUAACCUGCCUAUUAGAGGGGGAUAACUAUUGGAAACGAUAGCUAAUACCGCAUAACAGUAUGUAACACAUGUUAGAUGCUUGAAAGAUGCAAUUGCAUCGCUAGUAGAUGGACCUGCGUUGUAUUAGCUAGUAGGUAGGGUAAUGGCCUACCUAGGCGACGAUACAUAGCCGACCUGAGAGGGUGAUCGGCCACACUGGGACUGAGACACGGCCCAGACUCCUACGGGAGGCAGCAGUAGGGAAUCUUCGGCAAUGGGGGGAACCCUGACCGAGCAACGCCGCGUGAGUGAAGAAGGUUUUCGGAUCGUAAAGCUCUGUUGUUAAGGAAGAACGAGUGUGAGAAUGGAAAGUUCGUACUGUGACGGUACUUAACCAGAAAGGGACGGCUAACUACGUG